rnacentral:rRNA from 1 species
GAUGAACGCUGGCGGCGUGCCUAAUACAUGCAAGUCGAGCGAACGGACGAGAAGCUUGCUUCUCUGAUGUUAGCGGCGGACGGGUGAGUAACACGUGGAUAACCUACCUAUAAGACUGGGAUAACUUCGGGAAACCGGAGCUAAUACCGGAUAAUAUUUUGAACCGCAUGGUUCAAAAGUGAAAGACGGUCUUGCUGUCACUUAUAGAUGGAUCCGCGCUGCAUUAGCUAGUUGGUAAGGUAACGGCUUACCAAGGCAACGAUGCAUAGCCGACCUGAGAGGGUGAUCGGCCACACUGGAACUGAGACACGGUCCAGACUCCUACGGGAGGCAGCAGUAGGGAAUCUUCCGCAAUGGGCGAAAGCCUGACGGAGCAACGCCGCGGGAGUGAUGAAGGUCUUCGGAUCGUAAAACUAUGUUAUUAGGGAAGAACAGAUGUGUAAGUAACUGUGCACAUCUUGACGGUACCUAAUCAGAAAGCCACGGCUAACUACGU